UACAGAGGAGCCAAGCGUUGUCCGGAUUGACUGGGCGUAAAGCGCGCGCAGGCGGUCUGGAAAGUCUAUGGGUGAAAUGCCGGGGCUCAACCCCGCGCAUGCCCAGGAUACUGUCAGACUGGAGACACGUAGAGGCAAGCGGAAUUUCGGGUGUAGCGGUGGAAUGCGUAGAUAUCCGAAAGAACACCGGAGGCGAAGGCGGCUUGCUGGGCGUGAUCUGACGCUGAGGCGCGAAAGCGUGGGGAGCGAACAGG
rnacentral:rRNA from 1 species